UACGAAGGGGGCUAGCGUUGUUCGGAAUCACUGGGCGUAAAGCGCACGUAGGCGGAUUGUUAAGUCAGGGGUGAAAUCCUGGAGCUCAACUCCAGAACUGCCUUUGAUACUGGCGAUCUUGAGUCCGGGAGAGGUGAGUGGAACUGCGAGUGUAGAGGUGAAAUUCGUAGAUAUCGGGAGGAACACCAGUGGCGAAGGCGGCUUUCUGGCCUGUUCUUGACGCUGAGGCGGCGAAAGCUAGGGGAGCAAACGGGG
rnacentral:rRNA from 1 species